GGUUUUGAUUUGUAUUUCCCUGAUAAAAAUAAUCGGUAUACAGAGAAGAUUAGCAUGGCCCCUGCGCAAGGAUGAUACGCAAAUUCGUGAAGCGUUCCAUAAAAAA
rnacentral:snRNA from 1 species